GGAACUUUUAAUUCAGUCCAGAGAGGCUGAGAAGGAUCGCGGUGAACGGAUGUUCACAAUUUAUUGAGAUAUUAAACACUAAUCUUUACUAAAUAUAUUAGAAGGAUUAGUAUAUAUCAUAAAUAAUACACGUGUAUCCUCUUAUGCUUCUUGCUUGAGAGUUUUUUUAUU
rfam:Haloplasma contractile SSD-17B Contig4, whole genome shotgun sequence.